rnacentral:lncRNA from 1 species
CCUCCCUCGCCGCCUCUGCCUCCCUCGCCGCCCCCGCAGCCGCCCAGCCCGCUGCCCCCCAGCCCGGCGCCUCUGCCCCCCUCCCCUCCUCCGUCUCCCCUGCCCCCGAGCCCCAAGCCUCCUACUCCCCCCAGCCCCCUGCCGCCUGCUCCCCCGACCCAGCAGUUCACUGGCUCUGUCUUCGUCUACGCUCCUAACCGCCCUAACGGCUUCAACCAGGACGACGUGACCAAGGUGUACGCCAUGAUGCGCUAUGGUCUGGGCUGCGGCAUUGGCAACAACCCCAACGUGUGCCUGAAGUCCCAGCCCUACGUGACCAUCAACGAGACCAACAACGCCUUCUACCCCGCCUACACCAUGCUGGGUGUGAAGAUGUUCUUUGAUGGCUCCAAGGAUGGUUCUGGCCAGCCCUACCCCACCUCCGAGCAGAACAAGUGGGCUGCUGACGCCGUGACCUCCAUGUUCGCCGUGCUGGGCUCGUCUGAGCUUUGGAAGGCCCUGGCUGGCCCCGUCCAGUUCGGUGGCCUGGGUCUGGGCUGCGGUGCGUUCAUGUCGUUCGAGGCUGUCGUUGACGGCCAGUACUACAGCCAGCCCAUCGGCGGCGGCAGCCCUCCCCUGGUGGACAGCUACGACGGCAGCACGUACACCUACCAGGGUGCCCGCUACGUGUGCCCUCUGCUGCUGGGCGGCUUUGGUGGACCGCAGUGGCCCAACGCCAGCCUGCCCUACUACAUCCCCGACGGCGUUGCCGGUCUGCCCGGCUACAUCCGCCUUGGCGCCAUCCCCCAGAACACCAACUACCAGCGUCGCCGCUGCGCCACCAUCCUCACCCCGCCGGAUCUGAUGCAGCCGUCCACUUCGUGCCCUCUGUCCCCUCCUCCCUCUCCCUCUCCUCCUCCCAGCCCCCCGCAGCCGCCUUCUCCUCCCCCGGUGCCCCCGUCGCCUCCCUCUCCUCCUCCCUCUCCUCCCAGCCCCGCCAACCCCUCUCCCCCUCCUCCCGCCCCCCCUGCGGCUUUCUGCGGCCUGAACUUCAAGGUCAUCUCGCGCAUCCCCAAGAACGGUGUUGACCGCAACCCUGACUGCUCUCUGCUGGCGACCCUGGUGCAGAGUACGUUCACCCAGGGCGUGCAGCUGCGCAACCCUCCCCAGUUCCGCUGCGGCACGACCGUCAGCGCUACCGAGAUCAGCGCCGUCGCCGACACUCUGACUACGGAGGGUGCUCAGGUUUUCCUGCGCAACAUGGCCGGCAACAUUGGUGCCUUCAACCAGUUCACCUUCCCUGCCCCCGGCGGUCUGGGCCUGAUUUGCGGUGACUACUUCAACGUCACUUCGACUUGCGGCAUGAACACCACCGCGCCCGUGCCCGUGUUCCAGCCUAACGGCACCGUUGUCAACGCCACCUACCCCUUCGUCGUCGGCCCCGACGCCAUCUUCUACCCCCAGUUCGUCCUGCCGUCCUACACCUGCCCUCCUCCCCCUCCCGCCCCCUCUCCGCCGCCCAAGCCCCCGACCCCCUCGCCUCCUCCUCUGCCCCCUCAGCCCAACCCGCCCCCGGCUCCUCCCAGCCCCAACCCGUCGCCUCCUCCCCCUCCUCCGGGCUUCCGCUUCCAGAUGUCAGUCAUCAACGGUGACCAGAACGACGCCAUCAACUGCCCUCGCUACACAUCCUGGAUGAACGCCAUGAUGGACUCGUUCGAGCGGACCAACA